rnacentral:rRNA from 1 species
GAUGAACGCUGGCGGCGUGCCUAAUACAUGCAAGUCGAGCGAACGGACGAGGAGCUUGCUCCUCUGACGUUAGCGGCGGACGGGUGAGUAACACGUGGAUAACCUACCUAUAAGACUGGGAUAACUUCGGGAAACCGGAGCUAAUACCGGAUAAUAUAUUGAACCGCAUGGUUCAAUAGUGAAAGACGGUUUUGCUGUCACUUAUAGAUGGAUCCGCGCCGCAUUAGCUAGUUGGUAAGGUAACGGCUUACCAAGGCAACGAUGCGUAGCCGACCUGAGAGGGUGAUCGGCCACACUGGAACUGAGACACGGUCCAGACUCCUACGGGAGGCAGCAGUAGGGAAUCUUCCGCAAUGGGCGAAAGCCUGACGGAGCAACGCCGCGUGAAUGAUGAAGGUCUUCGGAUCGUAAAACUCUGUUAUUAGGGAAGAACAAAUGUGUAAGUAACUAUGCACGUCUUGACGGUACCUAAUCAGAAAGCCACGGCUAACUACGUG